rnacentral:rRNA from 1 species
UACGUAGGGGGCAAGCGUUAUCCGGAUUUACUGGGUGUAAAGGGAGCGUAGGCGGUGCAGCAAGUCAGAAGUGAAAGCCCGGGGCUCAACUCCGGGACUGCUUUUGAAACUGUUGAACUAGAUUGCAGGAGAGGUAAGUGGAAUUCCUAGUGUAGCGGUGAAAUGCGUAGAUAUUAGGAGGAACACCAGUGGCGAAGGCGGCUUACUGGACUGUAAAUGACGCUGAGGCGCGAAAGCGUGGGGAGCAAACAGG